rnacentral:rRNA from 1 species
CACGUAGGGGCCAAGCGUUGUCCGGAUUUAUUGGGCGUAAAGAGCUCGUAGGCGGUUGGGUAAGUCGGGUGUGAAAACUCGAGGCUCAACCUCGGGCUUGCAGUGGAUACGGGCAGACUAGAGUGCGGUAGGGGAGACUGGAAUUCCUGGUGUAGCGGUGGAAUGCGCAGAUAUCAGGAGGAACACCAGUGGCGAAGGCGGCUCACUGGCCCGGUACUGACGCUGAGGCGCGAAAGCGUGGGGAGCAAACAGG